rnacentral:rRNA from 1 species
UACGUAGGGUGCGAGCGUUGUCCGGAAUUAUUGGGCGGAAAGAGCUCGUAGGCGGUGUGUCACGUCGGCCGUGAAAACCUGCAGCUUAACUGUGGGCGUGCGGUCGAUACGGGCAUCACUGGAGUUCGGCAGGGGAGACUGGAAUUCCUGGUGUAGCGGUGAAAUGCGCAGAUAUCAGGAGGAACACCGGUGGCGAAGGCGGUGGUCUGGGCCGGCGCUGACGCUGAGGAGCGAAAGCGUGGGGAGCGAACAGG